rnacentral:misc_RNA from 1 species
GAUGAAGAACGUAGCGAAAUGCGAUAAGUAAUGCGAAUUGCAGAAUUUCCGUGAGUCAUCGAAUCUUUGAACGCACAGUGCGCCCACUGGUAUUCCGGUGGGCAUGCCUGUUCGAGCGUCAUUAUCCUCCCUCAAACCCCGGGUUUGGUGUUGGACCCAAGUUGUGUGAACAACUGGUCUCAAAGACAAUGACGGCGUCCGUGGGACCCUCGGUGCAACGAGCUUUUAGGAGCACGCAUCGAGUUGCAAGGACCUUCCGGGCCGGUCUCCUUUACCAUUUUACAAGGUUGACCUCGGAUCAGGUAGGAAUACCCGCUGAACUUAAGCAUAUCAAUAAGCGGAGGA